AGAUAAGACUCUUGUUCUCAGUGUCCUUGAUGGAAACGGCAAUGAACUUUUUGCAGAUUGGACCAUCUCGGAAAUCCCAAAGAUCGGAAACUAUUUUUUUUCUCAGAAUCGUCCACACAGCAUUGAGCCUUAGGAAUUUCUAAGAAGGAUCUGGGAUGAAAAACAAUCUUUUGAAAAGGUAUUUGUGUAGCUUCACUUCAGCAAGAUUCAUGGUGGGUGUUAGACAAAGUGCUGGUGUUAAGCCAAACCAUGUUUUUCAAAGACUCAUCUGGCCUCAAGGUUGGCAGGAUCAGAGUGGCCUCCCAGGAUCUAUCACAUCCUCAGAAGAGUUGGUUCAACUGGCAUGUACCCAGAUCUCUUUGAGCUAGUAUGACACUCCCUUGAGUCAAAGGCUGCCACAUCACAUCUCCUUUAAGUCCCCCUAAGUACGACCCCAGAAGUAUUGACAAAAUAGUGCUAUUCCUGAAGAUUUCAGGAGGACAUAAAUGAAGAGACUGAACUGCAAGGUACAAAAACUUCCAUCUUUGCUAAAGACCCUCAUCCAGGCUGGGCACGGUGACUCACGCCUGUAAUCCCAGCAAUUUGGGAGGCCGAGGUGGACGGAUCACCUGAGGUCGGGAGUUCAAGACCAGCCUGACCAACAUGGAGAAACCCCAUCUCUACAAAAAAUACACAAUUAGCUGGGCGUGGUGGCACAUGCCUGUAAUCCCAGCUACUAGGGAGGCUGAGGCAGGAGAAUCUCUUGAACCUGGGAGGCGUAGGUUGCGGUGAGCUGAGAUCGUGCUAUUGCACUCCUGCCUGGGCAACAAGAGUAAAACUCCAUCUCAAAAACAAACAAAAAGUCCUUAUCCGAUAGUCAUGCCACUCUAUCUGGCCAUGUAAUUUCUCCUCCUGGCUUUCUGUAGCAACAGCCUUCUGAGGAACCUCACUCUGCCGUUCAAAACCCCUUCAACUUGUACCCUUCAUCAGCAAAGUACUUAGCUCAACAGGUAUGCCUCUGGGGGAACUCAUCCACAUGCCAUUUAAGGAUAUUUCCAGCAACAUCAUCUUCACUACCCCAGGAUGGCAUUUUAGAGUGGAUGACGUGCCUGCUGGAUUUGUUGUACUCGAGCGAGUUAGAGAAAACGCUACACUUUGAGACGAAUUAAGAGUCUGUUUAUUUAGCCAGCGGCUAAGAAAUGGCUAACGUUUAAAGUUCUCUCGACCUCGAAGUAGAGGCUAGAUUUUCUUUUAUACUUUGGUUUAGAAAGGGGAGGGGGUCUAGUUAAAACAAUUUUACAGAAGUAGGCAAAAAAGUUAAAAGGAUAAAUUGUUAAGGAAAGUAAACAGUUCUAGGUCUAGGGGCUUUAAGACUAUUACAAGGUGAUAGACGCGGGGCUUUGGGCGUUAUCAAUUGGACGAAUUCCUGGGAACUGCGGAUAUUGCUCGCCACAGUUUCUUAUCAGUUAAUUGCAUUCUUCGAUGUGCUGGGAGUCAGCUUGCACAAGUUAAGUCCUUGAGGAAGGGGCUGCCAGUGAAAGAGCCAAGAUGGAGUAUGUCUGGCUCUCGUAGCUAAGGGAGAGUCAAUUCAGGUGGAAACAAGGCUAGGUGAUUAAAAGAAAGGGAGAGUCUAAAAACAGGGUUAGUAAAAACAAGGUUGGGCAUUACAUUCCUCAUUGUGUUUUUGGGGAAUCAAAUCGUUGAUUCUUUAGUUAUAACAAGGGGUUUAUAUUGAGUUUUAAGAUACAUAAGUUUGACAGAAGCUAUGUGUUGUUUUACAAAAUUAAUAAACUAAUUUAAUAUACAAGGUCCAAAAAUUAGACUUAAUACUAGGAUGGGGAGGGGGUCUGGCUAACUUAGUAAUUAGAAUAGUUAGCUCUGGGUUCUAGUUGAACAUGCUUUGAUACUAGGGGAUGUUAUUUUCUUGUUCUUGUUGGCGCUUAUCUAGAUUUUCUUGCACUUUCUGGAGUGUAUCUUUUAUGACUAAGAAUGGUGGAGGAACAGUUAAAUCAACUUUGUCAGGGUGUUUCUGGAACAUAGGGUUACUUAGAUCAGUUAAAGGCCUGAUUGGCUUGGGUGGGCUUUAUGAGACUAGGGUUUUUUUGGAUAGUGAACAUAGACUUAACAUUAAAUCCUGGGAUAUAGAAUCUUAAUCUUCAUGACAUGCCAUGAUACUAUUGAGUUGAAUUAAGGUCAUGGACAGCUAUAGUAAGAGGAUUACAAUUUUUCUAGUACAUAAUUUAGGAUGAGAAGCACGACUUAUGGAAAGAGUUGAAGAUCUGGUUGAUCUUUUAGAGUAGGUGGCUAAAGUUACACGUGUCUAAUCAGGGCAGAAAAACUGAUAAGUAUCUUGACAGCUAGCAUCAGGGUGAUUUCUAGGACAGAGGUAAAAGUCAAUAUUUUGGAGUCUUUUUUCUGCACUUUUGGAGCUUCUACACUUAGUUUGGCUCUUGGAGUGUCUGAAUCUUGCUGCAAGGUUGACACUUCCUGCUCCUGGGACUGGCAGAUUGUGUUGUUUUUCGUGGGUAUGGACUGGCUUUGGGAAUAGUACAAAUAAAUCAACUGCAAAGGAGACUUCCUUGGAGGUACUGGCCUUCUAAGUGGUGUUUGCAAAUACACGUCCUGUUGUGAAAGAGGUGAGGAGAAAGGAGUAGGAAGGUACAGAGGACGUAACUGGCAAAAACAAAUAAGUGAGGUAGUAAAAAGAAUGUAUCUAAUGGCUUCACCUGACUUAGGCGCAGUUUUAAGGGGCCUGACUUAGGCCUGGGGACUUAUGUUUUUAGUUGGGCUCUGUUGGCCUUUUUGAUGCGGGAGUGAUGAAUCUAGGCAGGAAUGCCAUCUACUUUCAGAGCAGCUGGCGUCGUGAGGAUGACGGUGUGAGGUCUUUUCUAAGCAGGAGUGAGUCUUUCUUUUUGGAACUUUUUAACAAACGCUAGGUCUCCUGGCUGGAAUGAAUGGCAGGACUUUUUCUGGUCAGGAACUGGAUUGGGAUGGGCUCCUCGAACAAGUGGCAGGAUGAUCUCUUGUACCAGUUGGAGAGACUAUAGGUACUGUAAUAAAUUAGUUUGUGAUAUUUCUGCUAAUUUGGCAUCCCUUAGCUUAGGCAAGAUAGGCAGCGCCUUCUUAUACAUGAUUUCAAAGGGUGAGAACUUAGCCUGGUAAGGGGUGCACCUUACUUUAAGUAGGGCUAAAGGAAGGAGACUUACUUAAUUUACACCGGUUUUUAAGAUUAAUUUUGUAGGAGUGUUUUUUAGGGUGUGGUUCACGCUUUCUACUUGCCUGGAACUCUGGGGCUGAUAGAGCUCCAGGCAAUAGAGGCACAAUGGAGCUUCUAUUGAACGUUUAACGCCUUACUGACUGACUGAGCUAUAGGCGAGGUGAAGGCUGCUCUAUUAUCAGACUUUAUGGCAGCAGGCAGCCUAUAUUGAGGGAUGAUUUCAUUGCGUAAAAACUUAACUACUGUGUUGGUGGUUUCGUUUUCGGUAGCAAAUGCCUUAGUCUAUCUGGAGAAGGUGUCUACUAGUACUAGAAGACAGACAAGGGGAGGGGCUCCUGUGAUGGGAUCAGUCAGAUGCCUGCCUGGCCGCUCCCCCUGAGGGGACUUGGGCUCCUCUUAACAUUGGCAGGCUGGUAUAAACUUCCGGCUCAGAUCAAGCUAUGCCUGAUGCUGCCUUAAGCCUUAUGAGGUCGCCACGGAACCGCAGGUGAGGGUCUACUUGAACUCCGUAGCUUUAGCCGUGGAGCUACAAACUGGAGGACAAGCGCAAGCCCUUGUCCUCACUCAUUCAUUAUUCACACAGAGUAUAUAACAGUUUUUUUUUUUUUCUUUCUUGGAGAUUCUUCAAGAAACUUGAACAAGAGAAAGAUGAGAGAUAGAAAGAGAGAGAGAGUGACCGGUCUGCCAGAAACCAGGACUCAGUCCUCCAGCAUCCUGGGAUGUGGACUGAGUCAAGGGAGGGCCGCUGUCAGAGCCACUUCCCUCCUAGAAAGAGACACAGAGGUGCCUAACAGAAAACCAGGGCUCUACCUUCUAGCGUCCUAGAGAAACAGGCAGAGUCAAAAGAGGGACACCCUCAUCAGGGCCGCUUCCCUCUUACUAGAACUGAAGUCAAAUCUGACCUACCUGACCUCAGGGUCAGAAGUCGAGGACUCAGAUGUGGAAUUUUUAUGGACACCCACACGGUAGUCGAUCCGCUCUCCUCUGAAAGACGGUCACCUUUCGGGGACCUAAAAAUUUUUUUUCAGGUGGCACCCCCCCUACAAGCCGGCCGGCCUUCUGGGGGAGCCCAGAGCGAGCCCGGCUCUUGCCUGGUGGCGUUUCUUGCUGGGGCCUCCGAAUGUUGUACUUGAGCGAGUUAGAGAAAAUGUCACACUUUGACAUGAAUUAAGAGUCUGUUUAUUUAGCUGACGGCCAAGAAAUGGCUAACUCUUAAAGUUCUCUUGGCCCCGAAGAAAGGGCUAGAUUUUCUUUUAUACUUCAGUUUAGACAGGGGAAACGGGUCUAGUUAAAAGAAUUUUACAGAAGUAAAGUAGGCAAAAAAGUUAAAAGGAUAAAUUGUUACAGGAAAGUAAACAGUUCUAGGUGUAAGGGCUUUAAGACUAUUACAAAGUGAUAGACGUGGGGCUUUAGGCAUUAUCAAUCGGACAAAUUCCUAGGAACUGCGGAUAUUGCUCGCCACAGUAUCUUAUGAGUUAAUUGCAUUCUUAGAUGUGCUAAGAGUCAGCUUGCACAAGUUAAGUCCUUGAGGAAGGGGCUGUCAGUGAAAAGGCCAAGAUAAAAUCUAUCUAGCUCUCUUAGCUAAAAGAAAGUCAAUUCAGGUAGAAACAAGGCUAAGUGAUUAAAAGAAAAGGAAAGUCUAAGAACAAAGUUAAUAAAAACAAGGUUAGGCAUUACAGAUGGGGUCAUCCUUAUAUUCAGCACAGCGUUUGUCCUGAAACUUCAAUGGAGUGCUCCUAGUUUGAUAACUUGGACCAUGCCAAAUAAAUUGAAUUUCUCUUUCUUAACAACAGAUGUUUGAAUACAGCCCCGUGACCCUUUCUGCUCCUUCCUGCCUUCCUCCUCUCCUCUUCCUUCCCUUCCUUUUCAAGAGCAGGGUUUGCAAACUUUUUCUUGAAAGCAUCAGAUAGUAAAUAUUUUCGAAUUCGUGGGCCAUACAGUCUCUUAUAGUAGUUGCUCAACUCUGCCACCCAUAGCAUGAAAGCAGCUGAUAUAGUUGAAUAUGAGUCCCCACCCAAAACUCAUGUUGCAAUCCCCAGUGUUAGAGGUGGGGUCUGGUGGGAAGAGAUUGGAUCAUGGGGGUGGAUUUCUCAUGAAUGAUUUAGCCUCAUCCCUUUGGUCCUGUCCUUGCAAUAGUGAGUGAGUUCUUGCAAGAUCUGGUUGUUUACGAGUGUGUAGCACCUCCCUCCUUACUCUCUUGCUCCCACUUCACCUUCUGCCAUCAUUGUAAGUAAGUUUCCUGAGGCCUCCACAGAAGCUCAGCAGAUGUCAGUGUCAUGCUCCCUGUAUAGCCUACAAAACUGUGAGCCAAUUAAAGCUCUUUAUAUAUUGCCCAGUCUCAGGUAUUUCUUUAUAGCAUGAGAGAACAGCCAAAUCCAGCAGCCAUAGACAAUAUGUAGCAAAUGGACAUGACUGUGUUUCAAUAAAACUUUAUUGACAAACACAUGCACAAGCAGGUCAGAUUUGGCCCAUGGGCAUUAGUGUCCCAACCUCUGCUCUGGAGUAUUCUCUUCAGCAACCUCUGCCUCCUGGGUUCAAGCAAUUCUCCUGCCUCAGCCUCCCAAGUAGCUGGGAUUACAGGCACCUGCCACCACACCUGGUUAAUUUUUGUAUUUUUUAAUAGAAAUAGGGUUUCACCUUGUUGGCCAGGCUGGUCUCAAACUCCUGACAUCAGGUGAUCCAACCACCUCAGCCUCCCAAAAUGCUGGGAUUACAGCUGCCCACCACCACACCUGGCUAAUUUUUGUAUUUUUAGUAGAGAUGUGAUUUCACUAUGUUGCCUAGGCUGGUCUCGAACUCCUGAUCUCAAGUGAUCCACCUGCCUCGGCCUCCCAAAGUGCUGGGAUUACAGGUGUGAGCCACUGCAGCUGGCCUCUAGAUUUUUUUUUUUUUGAUCGUUGCUUAUUUGGUUUGACUUUCAUUUUUUCCCCCAUUGUGGUAGUCAUUUUCUGAACGCCUGUUAGUUUGUCCAUCUCUCUCCUCUGUAGUCCCUAGAGUCAGAUGAACUCCUCUGCAGGUGCAAUGGUGUAACACACUCUAGUGCUGAAUUUUGAGCAGGAGAAAGAGAGCAAGAGUGACCAGUACCCUUGGAAACUCUGGCCUCCUGAGAAUUUGGUGUCUUCCCUGCAAAGGUUGCAAACCUGUUAACCCACAGGCCGGAGAGAGAGAGAAGUCAGAAUCACGAUCUGUUAAGCUUGAGUUUAAUAUUUGAUGCACAGAGAUCACUGAGUUUUUUGAUAAGAAUUAGAGGGGGAAGAAAUAGCCAGAGAACAAUUUCUAUCUCCAGGUGAGGAUUCAGGAGAUAAUUCUGCGAAAAGAACUUCCUGAGAACUAAGAUGGGGAAAAUCACUGGUAUUAGAAGAGUGAAAAGGUCAGUAAUUAAGGCUACAACUGUGCUCUUAGAGGCAAAAGAAGAAAAUGAGACUGCCAGGCAUGAAUAAUGAGAAAUCUUUGAUGGAAUUAGCCAUGCAGAACAGAUAUUAAAUGCAUCCUCAUUCUUCUCAUAGUCAAAAGUAUUUGCCUAAGCUGGAUGGGAAAAAGAGAAUCCCAUUUCACUAAGUAUAAAAGAGGGGAUUUUAGAGAAGGUCUCAGAAGAAAGAGAUGUGGCGGUUUGGUGAAACUCACCAGAGGCUGAACCCUC
rnacentral:lncRNA from 1 species